CUGGAAUGGACAGAGACUGACUCUGUGACUUAGGCAGGAACAGUGCAUACAGGAGAAAACUGGCAUAUCCAGGUUAAAUACCUUGUAGAAAAUGAAUUCUCUGGAGGAUACAGGCAAUAAAGAAAACCUGUGAGCUCCGUGAUGUACACCAGCUGAUUCGUGGAGACAGCAUACAAGCUUAACUAGGAAUUUAAAUUCAUAGAUAAUUCAGUUUCAUGAACUAGGGCCAGCAAUAGAAUUGUCUAUGUUUUCUUUGCACCUUGGUUUGCUGCUCCACCUCCUUCCUCUCAAAUGUAGUCUCUUACUAAUCUUGUAAGGGGAUCUUCCUUCCCUCUCUUGACGAAGCUUCCUGGUUUCGCUUAGAGUGUGAGGAAGUUUUUGUGACAGCUGGUCACGUUACUAGCAUCACCAGUCCAUAUUUCCUGUUCAGAUUUCAAUCAAGCCACAAACCCUUGAGAAUCAUAGCUUUGGUUUGGUUUCGUUUCGUUACAAAACUUUUUUUUUAAGAAACCAUGAAACCACACAAGGAGUCCA
rnacentral:lncRNA from 1 species